rnacentral:tRNA from 1 species
GGUGAGGUGGCCGAGAGGCUGAAGGCGGCGGUUUGCUAAACCGUUAUACGGGCCAAAACCUGUAUCCAGGGUUCGAAUCCCUGCCUCACCGCCA